rnacentral:tRNA from 1 species
ACUUUCUUAGUAUAUCUAGUACAAGUGACUUCCAAUUAUUUAGCCUCGGUUAAACUCCGAGAGAAAGUA